rnacentral:rRNA from 1 species
UAGUCCACGCCGUAAACGAUGUAUGCUAGUUGUUGGGGUCUUAAGGCCUCAGUGACGCAGAGAAAUCAUUAAGCAUACCGCCUGGGGAGUACGGUCGCAAGAUUAAAACUCAAAUGAAUUGACGGGGGACCCGCACAAGUAGUGGAGCAUGUGGUUUAAUUCGAAGAUACGCGCAGAACCUUACCAACACUUGACAUGUUCGUCGCGACUCUAAGAGAUUAGAGUUUUCGGUUCGGCCGGACGAAACACAGGUGCUGCAUGGCUGUCGUCAGCUCGUGUCGUGAGAUGUUGGGUUAAGUCCCGCAACGAGCGCAACCCUCACUUUUAGUUGCCAUCAUUAAGUUGGGCACUCUGAAAGAACUGCCAGUGAUAAGCUGGAGGAAGGUGGGGGAUGACGUCAAGUCCUCAUGGGGCCCUUACGUGUUGGGGCUACACACGUGCUACAAUGGGUAUCUACAAC